UGUCCAGCAACUCCUAUCCCUGCCUCCUCGUGGUACUGGCCGGGGUACGAGUAACCUUGGGCAAGAUCAGGUAACCAGCCCCGUUGGCAAUUUUGGUCUUAUAUUGACAGGGAAGG
rnacentral:ribozyme from 1 species